AAAAUCUCCUGCUUCCCAAGGUCACCUUAAAGUUGUUAUGGUUUAACAAAAAGUGAAGGUCACAUCAAGAAAGGGUCUGGCGCUAUGAGUCAUAGAGGGUGAUGCCCACUGGGAAAACACACGAUGAGAACAAAACCCGGAAGAGCAGACACAGGGCAGCUACCCAUAAGCCCACUUUUUAAUCAUGACCAUGACUGCUUU